GUGCAACUUUGCAACUUCACUUUAGCCUCUGAUCGGGGCCACUGCUUCAUUUACAUGAGAACUUGAAGAUUUUUAGUGUUUUUCCUACUCUGCCAAUUCUUGGAAUGUUUGCAGAACUGAGAAUUUACUUCUUCAUUUAUUACUUCUUAACUACAUUUUAAAGACUCAUUGGUUUCAAAUUCAGAUCAUUCAAUACAUACGGUACGAUUUCCACACACUCUGACAUUCCAAUUGCAUUGCUUGGGAAGAUUCUUAGUCUGGGAAUUUCCUAAAAAUGCAGCACAGAUGAUGACUGAAUAGGAACAGCUCCAGUCUGCAGCUCCCAGUGAGAUUAAUGCAGAAGGCGAGUGAUUUCUGCAUUUUCAACUUAGGGUGUAACACUGUGACUGAGUGACAAAAAGAGAGUGCUUUUUAUCAGUGACUCGCACACUUUCCUUUCACUGGAAUCCAGCUUAUUAGCUGCAUGGUUAACUCUUGGAGCCAGGAAAACAUCCUGCACGUGACACUGCCAUGAAGCAGAGGAGACAGUUGCUUCUUGGCCUCCCCUCUCUGGGACUUAAUAGCUUCUGAAGGCUAGUCUUCACUGACUCAUGAAGCCGUGUCCGCCUGGCGUCAGUGGUGGAGAUGCUGUGUUAACCCCAGCAAGCAAAAGCCAUCACCAGAGCUUUGCAAAGGGAGACAACACAUAGAAAGGCAGGUGAGGCAACACACACGCCAUCCCCAGACAGCCAUGGGUCCCCAGAGACAGGAAAAAUAUGUAUUUUCUUAAAAAAUUAGAAAAUAAAACCUCUUUUUUCCCCCCUGUAUGGCUCAUUGGUAGAUCUCAAAUUCUAACCCUUGUUUUCUCUUUUACUUCUCUGUCUGCUAAAAAACAGUCCUUAGAUCCAGUAUCUAGGAAGGUGAGCCUCCCGGAUGCGGUGCUGCAGUGGCCCCCACGGGGACCAAAACAAAACCCACUGGGAAAGGAGGAAAACGUUUUUCUCUCUUUCAAUAAAGCAUUUAGAAUCU